GUAUGUGAGCUAUUAAAAAGGUGCUACAAAAUCAGCCAGUCCUACCUGUGUGAUUGACAGGAUUGUGUGUUCUUUUCCGAGGGGGCACUUUGCCUUGGGGUCCUUGGCAUCCAGAGAACUGUGAUGAGGCCUCUCUGGAGCCAGGGCGUGAGACGUGGCUUCUGCCUGCAGGAUGAUUUCACUUAUUACACAAACUUGCAAGCUGCCCAAACCGAACUCUCCAGGGAAGUUGUUGGAAGAACAGGAGUCAGGACAUAAAGCUGAGCUGCAUUUGAUAGAAUACAUUUUAAAAAUCACAGGAUUGUAGAGCUGGCAGGAGUAUUCAAGAUUUUUCCGGGUUAACCUCAUUUUAUAGGUGUGGAGACUGAGGCAUAUGAAAGAAAGUGAAGUGAUCUGGUUCCUUUUGGAGUAUUCAGUAGGCUUGUGGCUGAUUCUCUCACGGGCAUUGGUCAUAAAGGGAAGGAGGAGAGGGUCCUUGGCCUGGUUGUAUGGUCCGUGGAGGAGGCUGAUACCUCCUGCCUGGUGUCACCUUCAAAGGCUCUGUUCUGAUGUUUAAAAAGUGAUAAGGGCAUGAAAAAGACCAGUUCAAAGGAUAGAAGGAUCAGGAACAAUGAAAUCUAAUUUAAGAGCAGAAACCACCCCAAGCAUUUUUUUUCUCUUGAAAACGAGAAAUUCUUAAGGUUUUUUUUUGCAUGGUGAAGGCUUAAGACAGCCAGCUUCACAUGCUGUUUAAUAAGGCCAUUGUUGAGCUCAGCAGAUGGGAAAGCAUUUGCCAGGGGGGGCAAAAGAAGCAGCAGAUCCUUUGAAACCCACAGAUGUUGUACCUGCCCUGCCGUCGUUAAGAUGAGAGGAAUGGGGAGGUACUUAAAAAUAACCUCGCGGUACCUGGGUGAUAGGAACCAGAUAGAGAGACAGGUGAAAAUUCCUUUGAACAAAAACAAUCGUCAAGACUCCGGGAGCAGUGUAGUUGAAAGGAUGUAGAAGUGUAGUGUGUGUCUCUUGCCAGAAAUUCCCUGCCAGCCUGUCUAGAGGUAAAAGCCAUGAUUUCUGAGACUUCGAAGUGCAGCCCCAUGCAGCCUGGGCAGAGAAGAAAAGGACAGACUUUUUAAGAGCCUGAUAGGAGAGGUUGACUCAUUCACUGAUGCUACGAAUCACUGGAGCCCAGACUCACACCACUGGAAAGAAGGGAUGCUGGUGGCUGUGGGCUACAGUCCGGGGCUCGUGGUUGAAGCCAGGCUCUUCCCACCUGGCCUCCAGAGGGCGUUUUGAGUCAGUGCAGAAUUUAGGUUUCCAGGUGUGUGCCCUCACAAUACAGCUUGGGGCCCUGACCAGCACCCUUGCCCUGCAUCCAAGGUUUUAUAAGAGGAUGAAGAAAUAAGACAAAAACGGGUCCUUGUUAAAUAAUAGCUCUCUUCCCCCUCCCCCAGUAAGGAUGCGAGCCAGGACCUGGGCAGGUAGACCAGGUUAUCACCGCCUUUGGCUUUGGGGAGUAAGCACUGUGAUUUUGUUCUUCUAAAGGGACCCAAGUGCUGCUGUUUCUCCAGCCGCCAUUGGCCUCCUGCCCUGAGGGUUUCCCCUUCCCUGCUCUGGCUGUGAUGGAGCGAAGCCCACCAGGUCAGGGCUGAGGGGUGGGGGCUUCGGGGGCCAGCUCCUCCGCAGACCCCUUCCCUCCCCCUUGAAGAAUUUCAGCCUCUCUUCUGGAGCUCUUCCCUGUUCCUCUUGAGUUGUGUUUGCUUGUGAAGCCCAGCCUGCUGGAGGGAAAGUGAGGCAUCUGGGCUUUCCAGGUGUAUGCGUGUGCUGCUGCCGUGCGCAUGCGUGCAUCUGUGUAUUCGCAUCUUAAAUCCGUGUGGUCCUUUCUUUUCCUCUGUGAGCCUUAAGUGAGAAAAGCCACAGAACGGGCACUUGCAGAAAAUCGUACCCACCUCAGUCUUGCUGUGAAAAGGUCAUGUCCAGACAUCCCCCUUCAAUCCAUAAAGUCACAGGGAGAGAACAGCCUUCCGUGAACAGUUUAAAAUGACGCAAAUGCCGAACAACUAUGCGGGCAUGGCCUUCGGAAGGUUGACGCUCCUGUGAAGGGACAGGAGCUGACGGUUGGAAGGAGUGGAGGUAAUGAGCCUGCCUUGGGUUUUCGUCUGCAUUUCUGUUGAGCUCUUCUGUUUUUAUUCACCUGGUACACUGGUGCAGUGCCACUGGCCGGUCUGGGGAGAAACUGUUCCUCUGGAACUUUGCACCUUAUAUCGAAGCCAUACAACUGAGUAGAAUUCAGGGGAUGUAAAAAUAACAUCCUGGGUCAUUACGGAACCUCACCUGGACGGAGUUGGCCUCCAUCCAGGCAGCAUCAGGCGUGGGCCGGGACCGCCAGAAUGUUUGAAAGGGAGCAAGUGAAGGAAUGAAUGAACUUGGUAGAAGGCAGAGGGGCUGGCUUCCGAUCUGGGUGCCCCUUCAAGUCUGUGAAGAAGGGGAAACCCAGCCACUUGAGGACACCAGUAGAUGGCUGACUUAGAGCCGUUUGUGCCAGUGGAAGCUAUCGCACACAUUGCUGCAAAGCCAAAGCCACAUCCAUCGUGAAGGUGGGACCCCGUGCUCGGCCGUGUGUCCACAGAACAAAACUGCCUUCUUUGCUUCCUGACAGCCUUGAGAAUUCUCUGGUUCUCAAGUUGUUCUCGGUGUCUUAGAAACUGAGCAAAUAAGAAAAAGGCUGCUAAAUUGUUUAAAAUCCAACCUUCCAAAGCUGUAUUUAUAAGAAACCUCAAAACAUGUAAAAUACAUCUGGAAAUCAAUUUAACUAGUGGAUCUUCUAUUUUCUCAAAGUGUGCUUUUACGUUUAAUAGGGGAACAGGACAAUUUGUGAGCAAAAGCCUGUUAUACCCAAACAUGUUUUUAUAUUCCCGAACCGACAAAGUCAAGUGCAAUUUGUCAAAGGUGGUAGGUGCGAAAAAGCAGCAUUUAAAAUUCCACAGAGGGAGUGGAGAGAGUCUCGGAGUGGGAAUUGGGAAUUUUGGCCUGCCAAGUCACUGGAAACCUUUCUAGUCCUUGGUUUUCGUAUCAAUAUGCCAGUUGAACUUGAUCAUCUUUAAAGUUGUUUUUCAGUCCUACGUAAUAUUCCAUCAUGAAAUAUUUCUUGAGAGCUUUGUCCUGUGAAGGUAGAGGGGUGCAGGACAGUUCCUGCACAGACCCACACACUCACCCAGGCCAUUCUCUCUCAUGGGAACAAUGAGCAAAGCGUGGAGGUAAUUCCUCUCCAGGGUUGCCUGUGGCAGUUGCUAUAAGUGGGGGAAAUAGGGAAAUGCUGUGGAGUUGAAGUGUAAGGGGAGAGUGUCUAGUGGAAAAUGACGGAAGUCUUCCUGAAGGUGGUGACAUUGACUUAUUUCUAUUUCAAAGUUUUCUUUAAAAACAAGUAGAGUCGUAUCUGCUUAUUUCUGCUGCUGGCUUAAGGGAGUUGCUUCUCUUGCCAAAUGGUGCUGUCCAGUGGCACAUGAACUCAAGUGACGGGUAUUUUCAAGAGGACCCGUAAAAAAGGGGAGCAGAACACAGGCAGGAGAGACCCACUGUGUUCUGCUGGUCCUGGUGGGAUCCUCUCAGAGGAAGCUCUGGGGCGAGCCAUGGUCAGGUCCUGGAACCACCCUCUGGCUCUCGCCCCCAGGUUCCGUUCCUCAUGUGCCCACUGCCACCACGGGAAACCUGAAAAGUUAUUUCAGGGAAACAUAUCCAGCCCCCAACUCCCGUGCUAAUUCUGCUUUUUAGUGGGUGGAUUCUUUUUUAUGUACCAGAUUCACAGUAACAAGUAUUUCCUACCAGGGAAGGGACUCCUGCUACUUUUGCGCCAAGUUAAUUUUGCUGAGGAUUAAAAAUAGCCUCCAAGACCUGCAUCCUCAUCUGCAGAGCUGGUGAGCUAAAGGAGACAGUUGGCUGGUGCAACGUCCGUUCUCUUUUGACGUAGCAAGCGUUGGCCAGUGAGAAGAGGGGAGUGUGUGUGGUGCAAGGAGAGAUAAAGGGCCUCAGCUUGCAACCCCUGUUCUAGGGCGCCUGAUGUCAAGAGGGUCACCUCUGGGCUUUUCAGCGUAAUCCGAUGGCUUAAGCUGCUGCUCAAGCAUCUUUGGAACCUACUCAUAAGAGUAAACACACAUAGCCAAUGGCACAUUCUUUUCAAAAUCCUCCACUCUGGGCAAACUGUCUGCCUUUGAGAGAGUGGCGUGAUUGUUUAGGGAAAGUAGCCAAAAGCCCAGUGGAGCCAGAUCUGAAAAGGGGGUGUGAUUGAGGGUGCAUGGUACCAUUUGGGGUCUAAAAGGGGGGUAAAAGGAUAAGGUAGAAGGUGAUUUUCUUGGGAACGUUAUAAAAUUUCUGACAUUGUAUUUAAGAGUCUUUGGUGUGCGAAGCAAGGGAAACAUGUGGGCAUCAUUGUGUAGCUCCUUAUGGACGCUUUUGCUUAAUGCCCAUUUCAGUCAGGCCUACACAGUGACUUCUUCAUGGGCAUAUCCUCUGCCGUUUCCCUUUGGAAACUAAAAACCUGGCACAGAAUGAGUGCUCGAAAAAAAUUGUUGAGCCGAAGAACAUGAGUAGAAGGUCUGCUACCCUAGUUUUGAUGUCCAGUUGUAUUUACAUGGUCUUGAAUUACUUGCAGGGUUGGAGCUGUGCAUGAGCCUGUUACUGAACCUGGCCGAUAGUUCAGAACGGAUGUUUCAUCAGCAUUAUGUUGUCACUGAGUGGGGAUGGGAACCACACCUAAUGGGCUUUUCUUCUCUUUAUGCUAAUCCUUUCAAACUGUUGUCUUAACUAUUGGCAAAAUUUUUGAACUGUUUUAGUUUUAAAAUGCUGUAUUUGGGCAAUAGCUUUUGACUUGGAAUCAAAAAUUGGUAUAAUGGCUUCCUGAUCUCUUCUGACCCAUCCUAGGUGACACAGUAAUAUCAGUUCAUGAUGUACAACCAACCAUAUUAACCUGUACCUGAGCAAAGGUGUCAGGGAAAACCUGCCACUCGUGACUUAAACCUUUGGAAGCUCCAAGCUAGAAGGUCUGCACAAGUCACGGCAUCUUUACGAUGAUGCUGAUACAUAUUUAGCAUCUCAAUGCCUGGUGCAUUUUUUUUCUUUUUCUUUUUUUUAGAUAAUAAUUUUUGUUUACAGUAUUCUGUCAGUUUUCUACUGUACAGCAAAGUGACCCAGUCUCACAUACAUAUAUACAUAUGAAUUCUUUUUCUCACAUUAUCCUCCAUCUCAAGUGACUUGGUAUAGUUCCCAGUGCUAUACAGCAGGACCUCAUUGCUUAUCCAUUCCAAAAGCAGUAGUUUGCAUCUAUUAACCCCAGACUCCCAGUCCAUCCCCCUCCCUCCCCUCCUCCUCGGCAACCACAGGUCUCUUCUUACAAGUCCAUGUGUUUCUUUCUGUGGAAAGGUUCACUUGUGCUGUAUGUUAGAUUCCGGAUAUAAAUGAUAUCAUACAGUACUUGUCUUUUUGACUAACUUCACUUAGUACGAGAGUCUUUAGUUUCAUCCGUGUUGCAGCAAAUGGCAUUAUUUUGGCUGAUUAGUAUUCCAUUGCGUAUAUAUACCACAUCUCCUUAAUCUGUUGCCUGGUGCAUUUUGUGCAUUUAUGCAUCAUUUGUAAGUGUUACAUGUUUGAGCACUUAUUACAUGCCAGGUGCUGUGAGAUGCAAAGGUUACAAAAACAAACAUACAUGGUCUUUGUCUUCAAACAGCUUAUCUUUAGUGGGAAGUCUUGUAUACGAAUCCAUGUGAUUGAUUAUUUGGAUAAUUACUUCUCUGGAUAAAUGGAAGUAAUAAAUGCUCUAGGCAUAUGUUGUUAUACUCCUCGUACAGAUGUGGCAGUUAGGCUUGGGCAUGGUUCUGUGACCUGCUGGAGUCUGGUAGUAAAUGGUGCAGUGAGCUUGGAGCCAGGUCUCUGCUUCCAACCCUGUGCUUUCCUUGGUGCCAUGUGGUUGGUUAUAAAGCCAACUUCAGGGGCAGAUUUUCUGUCGGUAGAGGCUCUAAUUCGGGGGUCAUCGUCUGGGGUCAGUGUGUCUGAGACCUCUCAAAACAGUGUAAGAAACUUG
rnacentral:lncRNA from 1 species